rnacentral:rRNA from 1 species
AGAGUUUGAUCCUGGCUCAGGAUGAACGCUGGCGGCGUGCUUAACACAUGCAAGUCGAACGAAGCACCUUAGACAGAAGCCUUCGGGCGGAAGACUUUGGUGACUUAGUGGCGGACGGGUGAGUAACGCGUGGGUAACCUGCCCUGUACUGGGGGACAACAGUUGGAAACGACUGCUAAUACCGCAUAAGCGCACAGCAUCGCAUGAUGCAGUGUGAAAAACUCCGGUGGUACAGGAUGGACCCGCGUCUGAUUAGCUAGUUGGUGAGGUAACGGCUUACCAAGGCAACGAUCAGUAGCCGACUUGAGAGAGUGAUCGGCCACAUUGGGACUGAGACACGGCCCAAACUCCUACGGGAGGCAGCAGUGGGGAAUAUUGCACAAUGGGGGAAACCCUGAUGCAGCGACGCCGCGUGAAGGAAGAAGUAUUUCGGUAUGUAAACUUCUAUCAGCAAGGAAGAAAAUGACGGUACUUGACUAAGAAGCCCCGGCUAAAUACGUGCCAGCAGCCGCGGU